CUGACCGUAAACUAUGCCAUCUAACGAGUCGGUAUUGGUUAUAAAUUGCCAUUUUGACGAGUUACCCGGAAACGAAAGUCUUUCGGUUCCGGGGGGAGUAUGGUUGCAAAACUGAAACUUAAAGGGAUUGACGGAAAGUCACCACCAGAAAUGGAGCCUGCGGCUUAAUUUGACUCAACACGGGAAAACUCACCCGGUCUAGACACUAAAAUGAAUGACAGACUGAUAUAUCUCUCAAGAUAUAGUGCAAAGUGGUGCAUGGCCGUUCUUAGUUCGUGGAGUAAUCUGUCUGGUUAAUUUCGAUAACGAACGAGACUAGAACAUAGUUAAUUGUGUGUGAUAUUAUUAUUUUAUUACACGGUGAUAAAUGGAUAUGCAAAUUAAAUUGCCUGAAAACUGGCAAUAACAGGUCUGUUAUGCCCUUAGUUGUCCGGGGCCGCACGCGCGCUACAAUGGAAAUUGCAGUGCGUAUAUACUAUAUCGAAAGAUAUGGUUAAACGUGUCAAAUUAUUCCGCAUUCGGGAUCGGAGACUGUAAUUGUUUCCGUGAACGAGGAACUUCAAGUAAGUGUGUGUCAUUAGCGCACGCUG
rnacentral:rRNA from 1 species